UUCAGAGGUGCCAAGCGUGAGGCGGAAUCACUGGGCUUAAAGCGUGUGUAGGCGGAUCGUUAAGUACCUUGUGAAAUCCCACGGCUCAACCGUGGAACUGCUGGGUAUACUGGCGGUCUUGAGCCACCUAGGGGCAACUGGAACAAGCGGUGGAGCGGUGAAAUGCGUAGAUAUCGCUUGGAACGCCAACGGUGAAAACAGGUUGCUGGGGGUGUGCUGACGCUGAGACACGAAAGCCAGGGGAGCGAACGGG
rnacentral:rRNA from 1 species